UUAAGCGACUAAGCGUACACGGUGGAUGCCCUGGCAGUCAGAGGCGAUGAAGGACGUGCUAAUCUGCGAUAAGCGUCGGUGAGGUGAUAUGAACCGUUAUAACCGGCGAUUUCCGAAUGGGGAAACCCAGUGUGUUUCGACACACUAUCAUUAACUGAAUCCAUAGGUUAAUGAGGCGAACCGGGGGAACUGAAACAUCUAAGUACCCCGAGGAAAAGAAAUCAACCGAGAUUCCCCCAGUAGCGGCGAGCGAACGGGGAGGAGCCCAGAGCCUGAAUCAGUGUGUGUGUUAGUGGAAGCGUCUGGAAAGGCGCGCGAUACAGGGUGACAGCCCCGUACACAAAAAUGCACAUACUGUGAGCUCGAUGAGUAGGGCGGGACACGUGGUAUCCUGUCUGAAUAUGGGGGGACCAUCCUCCAAGGCUAAAUACUCCUGACUGACCGAUAGUGAACCAGUACCGUGAGGGAAAGGCGAAAAGAACCCCGGCGAGGGGAGUGAAAAAGAACCUGAAACCGUGUACGUACAAGCAGUGGGAGCCUCUUAAUGGGGUGACUGCGUACCUUUUGUAUAAUGGGUCAGCGACUUAUAUUCUGUAGCAAGGUUAACCGAAUAGGGGAGCCGAAGGGAAACCGAGUCUUAACUGGGCGCUAAGUUGCAGGGUAUAGACCCGAAACCCGGUGAUCUAGCCAUGGGCAGGUUGAAGGUUGGGUAACACUAACUGGAGGACCGAACCGACUAAUGUUGAAAAAUUAGCGGAUGACUUGUGGCUGGGGGUGAAAGGCCAAUCAAACCGGGAGAUAGCUGGUUCUCCCCGAAAGCUAUUUAGGUAGCGCCUCGUGAAUUCAUCUCCGGGGGUAGAGCACUGUUUCGGCAAGGGGGUCAUCCCGACUUACCAACCCGAUGCAAACUGCGAAUACCGGAGAAUGUUAUCACGGGAGACACACGGCGGGUGCUAACGUCCGUCGUGAAGAGGGAAACAACCCAGACCGCCAGCUAAGGUCCCAAAGUCAUGGUUAAGUGGGAAACGAUGUGGGAAGGCCCAGACAGCCAGGAUGUUGGCUUAGAAGCAGCCAUCAUUUAAAGAAAGCGUAAUAGCUCACUGGUCGAGUCGGCCUGCGCGGAAGAUGUAACGGGGCUAAACCAUGCACCGAAGCUGCGGCAGCGACACUAUGUGUUGUUGGGUAGGGGAGCGUUCUGUAAGCCUGUGAAGGUGGCCUGUGAGGGUUGCUGGAGGUAUCAGAAGUGCGAAUGCUGACAUAAGUAACGAUAAAGCGGGUGAAAAGCCCGCUCGCCGGAAGACCAAGGGUUCCUGUCCAACGUUAAUCGGGGGCAGGGUGAGUCGACCCCUAAGGCGAGGCCGAAAGGCGUAGUCGAUGGGAAACAGGUUAAUAUUCCUGUACUUGGUGUUACUGCGAAGGGGGGACGGAGAAGGCUAUGUUGGCCGGGCGACGGUUGUCCCGGUUUAAGCGUGUAGGCUGGUUUUCCAGGCAAAUCCGGAAAACCAAGGCUGAGGCGUGAUGACGAGGCACUACGGUGCUGAAGCGACAAAUGCCCUGCUUCCAGGAAAAGCCUCUAAGCAUCAGGUAACAUCAAAUCGUACCCCAAACCGACACAGGUGGUCAGGUAGAGAAUACCAAGGCGCUUGAGAGAACUCGGGUGAAGGAACUAGGCAAAAUGGUGCCGUAACUUCGGGAGAAGGCACGCUGAUAUGUAGGUGAAGCGACUUGCUCGUGGAGCUGAAAUCAGUCGAAGAUACCAGCUGGCUGCAACUGUUAUUAAAAACACAGCACUGUGCAAACACGAAAGUGGACGUAUACGGUGUGACGCCUGCCCGGUGCCGGAAGGUUAAUUGAUGGGGUUAGCGGUAACGCGAAGCUCUUGAUCGAAGCCCCGGUAAACGGCGGCCGUAACUAUAACGGUCCUAAGGUAGCGAAAUUCCUUGUCGGGUAAGUUCCGACCUGCACGAAUGGCGUAAUGAUGGCCAGGCUGUCUCCACCCGAGACUCAGUGAAAUUGAACUCGCUGUGAAGAUGCAGUGUACCCGCGGCAAGACGGAAAGACCCCGUGAACCUUUACUAUAGCUUGACACUGAACAUUGAGCCUUGAUGUGUAGGAUAGGUGGGAGGCUUUGAAGUGUGGACGCCAGUCUGCAUGGAGCCGACCUUGAAAUACCACCCUUUAAUGUUUGAUGUUCUAACGUUGGCCCGUAAUCCGGGUUGCGGACAGUGUCUGGUGGGUAGUUUGACUGGGGCGGUCUCCUCCUAAAGAGUAACGGAGGAGCACGAAGGUUGGCUAAUCCUGGUCGGACAUCAGGAGGUUAGUGCAAUGGCAUAAGCCAGCUUGACUGCGAGCGUGACGGCGCGAGCAGGUGCGAAAGCAGGUCAUAGUGAUCCGGUGGUUCUGAAUGGAAGGGCCAUCGCUCAACGGAUAAAAGGUACUCCGGGGAUAACAGGCUGAUACCGCCCAAGAGUUCAUAUCGACGGCGGUGUUUGGCACCUCGAUGUCGGCUCAUCACAUCCUGGGGCUGAAGUAGGUCCCAAGGGUAUGGCUGUUCGCCAUUUAAAGUGGUACGCGAGCUGGGUUUAGAACGUCGUGAGACAGUUCGGUCCCUAUCUGCCGUGGGCGCUGGAGAACUGAGGGGGGCUGCUCCUAGUACGAGAGGACCGGAGUGGACGCAUCACUGGUGUUCGGGUUGUCAUGCCAAUGGCACUGCCCGGUAGCUAAAUGCGGAAGAGAUAAGUGCUGAAAGCAUCUAAGCACGAAACUUGCCCCGAGAUGAGUUCUCCCUGAGACUUAGAGUCUCCUGAAGGAACGUUGAAGACGACGACGUUGAUAGGCCGGGUGUGUAAGCGCAGCGAUGCGUUGAGCUAACCGGUACUAAUGAACCGUGAGGCUUAACCUU
rnacentral:rRNA from 1 species